AGUAAAAUAAUAAUGAGUUUUGGAGCAGGUCCAAGACAGGAUUUAAUUUCUCCUUUAAAAGGACUUAUGCAUUGUAAUUGACUAAAAGUUAAAGAUAUGUCGUGAUCUUUAUGUUUAAAUGAAUAUUAAGAGAGAACUUGUUCUUUUCAUGGGUGGAAUUUUUGUUUCUGGAUUUUCGUUCAGCUGUGAUUUGACAUUGUUGCACUUUUUACCAUUUGGAAUUUAAAACUAUGUGGAAUUUUUAAACAAAAACUUCUUGUUAUGUGAAUGCCAGGAUUUGUUAAACCAAUAAAAGAUAAAAAACACACACUUGUAUGACUGAGGUUGUGCUUACAUUGACAGUGACCCAUAGCAGCUGGAAAAGAUAAAAAGUGAAUAAAAAUUAUGGAUUUUUUUUGGUAUGACAAAACUAUUGUAAAGGCGCAGAUAUUCAGAAAAUAAAAGAAACAGACAUUACAUUACAGGGCAGAACAACAUAAUGGAGAAAGUGAACUUUAUUCUCUGUUAGAACUGUAUAUUAUGUUUCAUUCAAUGACCCUGUAAUAUAAUUAUAAAGCUGUUUUAUUUUUAUUUUGUUUUGUUUAUACAUGUGAACUAUUCUGUUUAAGACAUCAAAUUCGAAUGGCAUAAAAAUCCACUGAAAGAAACAGGAACUAACUUUGAUUAUGACUUUGGAGUUCUAACAUUUUGCAGAACAAAACCUGCAUACCAGCAAAGCAAUUAGCUUGACUGGGUAAACAAAAAAAUAU